rnacentral:rRNA from 1 species
GGGUCAGUAGGUUGGUCGUGCCACCGGUACGUACUGGUCUCACUGAUUACUCCCUCCUGAAGAACCGUAAUGCCAUUAAUUUGGUGUUGCGGGGAAACAGGACUGUUACUUUGAAAAAAUUAGAGUGUUUAAAGCAAGCUAACGCUUGAAUACAUUAGCAUGGAAUAAUGAAAUAGGACGAUCGAUCCUAUUUUGUUGGUUUCUAGGAUUGACGUA